rnacentral:rRNA from 1 species
UAGGGAAUCUUCGGCAAUGGGGGCAACCCUGACCGAGCAACGCCGCGUGAGUGAAGAAGGUUUUCGGAUCGUAAAGCUCUGUUGUAAGAGAAGAACGUGUGUGAGAGUGGAAAGUUCACACAGUGACGGUAACUUACCAGAAAGGGACGGCUAACUACGUGCCAGCAGCCGCGGUAAUACGUAGGUCCCGAGCGUUGUCCGGAUUUAUUGGGCGUAAAGCGGGCGCAGGCGGUUUAAUAAGUCUGAAGUUAAAGGCAGUGGCUUAACCAUUGUUCGAUUUGGAAACUGUUAAACUUGAGUGCAGAAGGGGAGAGUGGAAUUCCAUGUGUAGCGGUGAAAUGCGUAGAUAUAUGGAGGAACACCGGUGGCGAAAGCGGCUCUCUGGUCUGUAACUGACGCUGAGGCUCGAAAGCGUGGGGAGCAAACAGG